GAGGGUAUAGCUCAAAGUGGUAGAGCACAUGCUUAGCAUGCACGAGGUCCUGGGUUCAAUUCCCAGUACCUCCU
rnacentral:tRNA from 1 species